ACGCGCAGACCCGGGCGGCCCUCUCCGGUCAGGCUCUCCAGCCUCCUCGAGAAGAGCAGUAGCAAUCUCCCCAAGGAGAUCUUGUUGGACGACAAGCUGAGGGACCUGGACGGAGGGAUUGAGAGGAAGAUCGCCGAGGUGGAGAUGGACAUCGACAAGGCGAAGAGCGAGGGGUAGUUCUGGGGAAUGGGGCUCAUGCUGGUACCGAGGGUUCCAACAGAAAGAAGUUCCUUGCCGUCAUUUGAGUAUACACUAGCUUUGGCUCACAUAUAAAACACCACCCGAGCACCUCUUCAUGUGCCGUCAUGUUUACAUCUUGAAUAUUUUUCUUGAUUCAGUAAAAAAUUGGUUUAACUCAUUCUUUUGUGUUGACAUACACUCACAUUAAGGAUUGAACUCGCGGUCAUAUAUAUGGUCUAAUUAUCAAAUCACAGAAAGGAGAGGAGGAAGCUGAACUCCGCCUUUUUUUCUGUCCAGGAGAGAAGGUUAUUUUUUCUUUUUGAUUGAAACCUGCACUGUAUUGGGUCUGGAGGAAAUUUGUCUCUUCGUCUAUAGUUUGUUGUAUCUUAGUACUCCGUAGUGUACUGCCAGUACCAUGGCAUACCAAUUGUUCGGACAGAUCAAAAGGCAAGUUAAAGGUCAAUUAAAUAAAUGCUACUGUACUCCCACAUCUCACAUCUCAUUUACUACCUUGUACUGUAUCAGCAUUACUUGAAACACAUUUAUGCAGUCACGCAUCUCACCUUGAUUUUUUUUCUUCUGAAUUUUGCUUGUAUUGGAACUAUAUGCAUUUGUAUUGUCUAACUUGUUAUGCUCGCUGGUUGAAUUUUCAGCAUUUGAAUCCUCCUCAAAGGAGAAACAGGGAAUUAGCUAGUACCAUAAAUGACAAGAUAGCUUGGCCAUGACUCGAUCAACUUGCCUAGGUCCAAGUCCAACCCUCACAAGCUUCUUCAUCUGUAACAAACAUCAAUCUCGGGAGCGUUAGUUGAAGAGCCGGUGUUCUACAGUCUAGGAAAAAGAUACAGAGGAAGUCA